rnacentral:rRNA from 1 species
UUCCGGUUGAUCCCGCCGGACCUGACUGCUAUCGGAUUGAUACUAAGCCAUGCGAGUCUUUGCAGUAAUGCAAGGCAUACGGCUCAGUAACACGUAGUCAACUUACCCUAUGGACGAGGAUAAUCUCGGGAAACUGAGCAUAAUACUCGAUAGAUCAUAAUGCCUGGAAUGGUUUAUGGUUGAAAUGAUUCAUCGCCAUAGGAUGGGACUGCGGCCUAUCAGCUUGUUGGUGAGGUAAUGGCCCACCAAGGCGAUUACAGGUACGGGCUCUGAGAGGAGAAGCCCGGAGAUGGGUACUGAGACAAGGACCCAGGCCCUAUGGGGCGCAGCAGGCGAGAAAACUUUGCAAUGUGCGAAAGCACGACAAGGUUAAUCCGAGUGAUUUCUGCUAAAGAAAUCUUUUGCAAGUCAUAAAACCACUAGUGAAUAAGGGGUGGGCAAGUUCUGGUGUCAGCCGCCGCGGUAAAACCAGCACCUCAAGUGGUCAGGAGGAUUAUUGGGCCUAAAGCAUCCGUAGCCGGCUCUGUAAGUUUUCGGUUAAAUCCAUGUGCUCAACGCAUGGGCUGCCGAAAAUACUGCAUAGCUAGGGAGUGGGAGAGGUAGACGGUACUCGGUAGGAAGGGGUAAAAUCCUUUGAUCUAUCGAUGACCACCUGUGGCGAAGGCGGUCUACCAGAACACGUUCGACGGUGAGGGAUGAAAGCUGGGGGAGCAAACCGGAUUAGAUACCCGGGUAGUCCCAGCUGUAAACGAUGCAGACUCGAUGAUGCAUUGGCAUAUAGCCAGUGCAGUGUCGCAGGGAAGCCGUUAAGUCUGCCGCCUGGGAAGUACGUACGCAAGUAUGAAACUUAAAGGAAUUGGCGGGGGAGCACCACAAGGGGUGAAGCCUGCGGUUCAAUUGGAUUCAACGCCGGG